AACGAACGCUGGCGGCAUGCCUAACACAUGCAAGUCGAACGAGACCUUCGGGUCUAGUGGCGCACGGGUGCGUAACGCGUGGGAACCUGCCCUUAGGUUCGGAAUAACUCCCCGAAAGGGGUGCUAAUACCGGAUAAUGUCUUCGGACCAAAGAUUUAUCGCCUUUGGAUGGGCCCGCGUUGGAUUAGCUAGUUGGUAGGGUAAAAGCCUACCAAGGCGACGAUCCAUAGCUGGUCUGAGAGGAUGAUCAGCCACACUGGGACUGAGACACGGCCCAGACUCAUACGGGAAGAAGGAGGGGGGAAAUGGGAAAAGGGGGGAAAGGCCUGAACAAGAAAGGCCGGGGGAGGGAAGAAGGCGUGGGGGUAGAAAGGUUUUUUUACCGGGGAAAAAAAGGAAAGAACGGGAAAAAAAAGCCCCGGAAAACUCCGUG
rnacentral:rRNA from 1 species